UCACAGCAAAACCUCAAGUCACUAUGCUGUUUCUCUGCCUUAAGCUUCCCAUUCAUUUACUCAUUUCUUAUAUAGUACUUCUGUGUUGAGUCUGAAUAUUGAUCACUGAUGAGCACACAGUUGCCUCCUUGUCUUCUUAUUCCAGUUUUGAAAGCCCUUGUAAUCUUACGCUUUGGGCAGCCUCUCCAUGCAGUUCUCAGUUAACACUAGAGGCAGCUGUUGUUUUGAAGAACAUGGAGACAAUAUCAAGUCAGCCAGAAGGUCUCUAUUUGAAAAAGCUAGCAACUUGAACUAUUUCAUUUAGUUGGGCAAAUAAACAUUCAAGCCUGCUAUAAGUUCAAAAGAAUAUGAUUUUGGUUGAGAUUGGUUGACUUACUUUUCAUUAUAGUUUGUAAUGGACCUUAUUUCUUGGAUUUUUCAGUAUUUGUAAAAUGAUUCUGUAAAAAUACGGUGAAGGGGAAACAGAUGUUACAAUCUAACUGAAAAGCAGAGUAAAAUAGUUUGUUCAAGAACGGCUGUGAUUAAAUGUUAAAAGUAAUAUUCUUCCUCUUAGCAGAUGAUGAUGAUAAAGGGCAGUGGGGGGGGACAUACACCGCAUAUACCAAUCUGAACUCUUCAAAGGAAGGGCUUGAGAUAUUCAAGUGCCAAAGCUCCUUUGGAUUAAAGGUUUAAAAUUAUGAUUCCUAUGAACAGACAGCUCUAAAUUUAGAAUACCUUCCAUGGGUCCCCCUUUAUGCAGUCAUAGACUUACCACAGCUAUACAAAGAUGUACUAUAUUCUGUAUUGGAAGCUCUGAUAGUUACAUCGUGCCUGUCUGUUUACUUUCAUUUCCUGCCUGCUAGCCAUAGAAUCUAUUUUUUGCAACUAGCACUCAUGAGACACCAUAUUAAUUCCACUUUCUUUUUACACUUAAGGAUUUUCAUUUGACAUUUCUAAAAAUAAUAGUGCUAAUCCAAAGAAAUAAAAAGAAACAAACAAGCCCAAGAGUUGCUGAUUACAGAUGAGGCCCAGAAUAGAGAAUUCUGUAACAUUGCCUGUUAGUUUCAGCUUUCAGUGUAACCCCAAUAAAUCCUUAAUUAUUAAAAACAUUGGGUUAGGUCUACUUGGUUCCAGGCCUUUUCUUACAUAAAGCUUCCUUAUCUAACUGGCCUGCACAUCUUGAUCACCUAACAAAGGACCAAGUCUAGAUCUUCCAACAAAGUUGGAUUCAAACUUAGAUCUCAUAUUUACUCAGGGAACACCAUAUUACUCAGGAAUUAAUCCACAUGCUCACUGUUCAACAAGAUAUAUGCAAUCACCUGUCAGUGUUCCACUUUAGGGCUAACAAAUGACUGUCCUACAUAGGACAUUAGCACCAUUCUUCUGCUCGUCUCCACUCUCCUCCAUGGUAUGUAAAGACAAUCUGGUUUAACAAUUCCAGAGGUCCAGGUCAUUGGAGUCAUGACUUUGUGCCAUCCAUCCAAUUUUAUACAGUAGAUCUUUUGAAGGUUUUAUUUAAAUACUAAUUGGCCAUUUUAAGCUACAUACCAGAUGAGCUAUGAGCAUUUUUUUUUCCUCAGCUGUAACAUCAUUCAUCUAAUGUAACUGUCAUCCAGUGGCACAGUAAUUUCUGUAUCUCCAGAUAGGGAUUAAAAAAACCUCCGGUCUGAAACCCCAAAGCACUACUGUUUGCAUCUGUCUUCAUGCAACAUGCUAAACUCAAUCCACCAGGCCACAUGAUGUUUUAAUUAAUUGUGUAUACCCAGACUAUUAUGGAUUAUGUAGUAAAUUCUGUUAAGCAAUGCCUUGCCAGAGAGAUAGGAAAGCCAUUGGUGGCUGGUGGCUGCACUUCACGUAUUUGGAGAGGGCUUAAGGUGACAAUGGCCAGGCCAGAAUUAUUUAUUCGUUAGAUUUAUAUUCUAUCCUUCCUCUAAGAGCUCUGUGUUGUUAUAUGACUGUAAUAAACUAUUCUUUCUCCUCUCCUCCAGGAGCUCAAGGCAGUUUACAUGGGGAAUCUUCUUUAUUUUUAUCCUCAGAUGAGAAAUACUGUGAGAUUGAUUAAGUUGAGAGAGUGUGAUUGACCCAAAGAUGCUUCGGGCAUGAGAAUGCCCUCAGAGAAGAGGCAGCCUCCAAACUCCAUCAUACAUAGAUAGGCUUGAAGCAGCAGCACUGGAUUCACUUCAAAAAGUGGAAGUAAUUAUUGUUUGGGGCUUGUUUGCUAGCCUUCCCUCCACUUCCUCCCUCCCUCCUUCCAUGUGUGCAGCAUUUCAGAUGUGAGUAAAAUUGCUGGCAUAUAUAAAAUAUGAACAACAAAGGCCAUAAAAGCUAAAAAGAGACAAUGCCUGAAAAACGCCUGCUGACGUCAAGAGUGGGACAGGCACAGAAUAUAAAGGGAGGCAGAACAGUCAGCCAUUCUGAAAGCACAAUAGGAACACAAGUUUUGAAAGCCUUAAAAGUCCUUGGAUUUAAUCAGCCAUCCAUGCAAGAUAUCACAGAGAAAUAACACUGCUUCAGGUUUGUAAUUGGAUCUGCAGUAUCAUGGUAAGCCAGUUGAAUAACUCAACAACCACCUAAUUUCAGCACUGCUGCCUAAGAGCAACUGAGCUAGCAUAUUAGCUCAACAUUUGUUUGUUUGCUUGCCUGCUUGCUUGCAUAUAAUGGCCCCUUGAUUCCUAUUAAAAUCUUGGCUUCUUGUUCUAGGCAAUGUAUUUUCCUCUGUGUGAGACUCUGGCCAAAUUGUCUUUGUGCAAUGAGGGGGAUUUGCAAAACAUUAAGAUGAAUAUGUUCUCUUUGGCUGUGAUCCUCUGCCGAGUCGUGUGCUCCUAUAGUCAUCUAUUUCAGUAGCCAUUAGGCAUGCAUAAAUAUGGGCAUCUGAACCAGAAAUUAAUUAUGUCACUUCAUACCUGAUGCAGAGGGAAAUCUAGAAUUGUCACUUCAGUAGGAAGCUGCAGCCAGUCAUGGCUCUCAGUAAGCAUGCCUGAAUGAUAGACAAAUUUGCUGCUUUCAUAUUUUCAAGUGCCAACCUAAACAAGGAGUAAUCAGACUUGUGACCGAAACAGAACACUUUUUAAACAGCUAAAAUCAAAUAUUUUUCAUGGAAAAAGGCAAAAUUAGAAACCACUUUAGCUUUAGAGCUAUUCCUUCUCUUUCCUCCCCCUUUUAUCACUCGCUAGAGCACCACACAUAUUUCAGGAUGAUGAUCAGAUUAUUGAUGGUCCAUAACAAUUUCACAUGGGCUCAUCCUGUCUCCAUUGCUUAUGAAUCGGCACAUUUCUUUUGAAAAUCACCACAAGAAUUCAAAUAUGCGCCCUUUGAAAUAGCUUUUCUCAUUUCUCUCCAACUGCAUGUAGAUUAAUGCAGUGAUUCUUAACAUGGGCUCAUCCGUGAGCUUGCCCAGUUUGAUGCAAAAAUAUGAUGAAUACAAAGCAAUGUUUCCAGAGCUCUGUUUCAAGUCUGUCUGUGUUGCUGGUUUUUUUUUUUUAAUUUACCUUUGUCUUUCAAAGGAGGAGUAUGCAAACCUCUGACCAUCUGAUCUGUUUCUCUCUCUGCAGAGGGAAUUACAAACUGAGGGAAAGGGAGGAAGGGCUGUGAAAGUGCACUGAGGGUGGAAUUACAAGGGUGGGGAAGAAGUUUAAAAGCAUCAAGCACCAGGUUAGAAAUGAGAGAGAGCUCAGUGUAGCUGCAUUGAGAGAGAGUGCGAAAAACAGUUUACAGCCUGCCUGUUGUUUUGCAAACAGCAGGAAUUUAAGAGCAGUUUAAGAGAAGCUGAGUUGAGCCAAGGAGCAGUGUUAUGUCUGGUGACCAGAUUAAAAAAAUAGUCCUGACUUUGGUGAGUAAAAAUAACUGCACACCAUAAAGAAAGGGGGGGCUUUUUGCUAAGUGAAUGGAACAGUGUUCUGCCUUCUAACUGCACUGCAAAAAUAAUCAAGCUCCUAUUUAAUAAAUAUGGUUGAAAUGUGAUUUCUUUGUUUUUUUCCAGUGAAACAGUUUUAUUUUAUAACAUAAGGCUCUAGUGAGACCCAGUUUGGUGUAGUCCUUGAAGGCACCAGGCUAGUAAACUGAUGAUUGUGAGUUCUAGCCUCGCUUUAGGUACAAAGCCAGCUGGGUGACCUUGGGCCAGCCCAUCUCUCUCAGCCCUAAGAACGAGGCAAUGGCAAACCACUUUUAAAAAUGUUGUCAAGAAAGCUGUGUGGACUUUUCCAGGCAGUUGUUAGGACUCAAGACUGAC